AUAUUAUUAAGCGGAGGAAAAGAAAUUAACAAAGAUUACCUUAGUAAGGGCGACUGAACCGGUAAAAGCUCGAAAUUGGAAUCAGUGAUUCAACGAAUCUCUGAAUUGUAAUCAGGACAACCUAAAUACUGGAAGCAUUUUAAUAGGCUCGAAAGCCUGACCAAAGAGGGUGCUAGUCCCGUGAAAAUGUAGACAGAGUAAGGUUGGAUCCACAAGAGUCAGGUUGCUUGGAACUGCAGCCUUAAGUGGGAGAUAUGAUUCUUCCAAAGCUAAAUAUGGAUGGGAGACCGAUAGCGCACAAGUA
rnacentral:rRNA from 1 species